rnacentral:rRNA from 1 species
AUUGAACGCUGGCGGCAUGCCUUACACAUGCAAGUCGAACGGCAGCACGGGAGCAAUCCUGGUGGCGAGUGGCGAACGGGUGAGUAAUGUAUCGGAACGUACCUUUCAGUGGGGGAUAACGUAGCGAAAGUUACGCUAAUACCGCAUAUUCUGUGAGCAGGAAAGCAGGGGAUCGCAAGACCUUGCGCUGAUUGAGCGGCCGAUAUCAGAUUAGCUAGUUGGUGAGGUAAAGGCUCACCAAGGCGACGAUCUGUAGCGGGUCUGAGAGGAUGAUCCGCCACACUGGAACUGAGACACGGUCCAGACUCCUACGGGAGGCAGCAGUGGGGAAUUUUGGACAAUGGGGGCAACCCUGAUCCAGCAAUGCCGCGUGUGUGAAGAAGGCCUUCGGUUGUAAGCACUUUGUACGGUAAGAAAGACUUCCGGUUAAGUACCUCGGUAGGAGUGACGGUACCGUAAGAA